UUUGUUUGGAGAGUUUGAUCCUGGCUCAGGACGAACGCUGGCGGCGUGCUUAACACAUGCAAGUCGAACGGAAAGGUCUCUUCGGAGACACUCGAGUGGCGAACGGGUGAGUAACACGUGGGCAAUCUGCCCUGCACACCGGGAUAAGCCUGGGAAACUGGGUCUAAUACCGGAUAGGACCACUUGGCGCAUGCCUUGUGGUGGAAAGCUUUUGCGGUGUGGGAUGGGCCCGCGGCCUAUCAGCUUGUUGGUGGGGUGACGGCCUACCAAGGCGACGACGGGUAGCCGGCCUGAGAGGGUGUCCGGCCACACUGGGACUGAGAUACGGCCCAGACUCCUACGGGAGGCAGCAGUGGGGAAUAUUGCACAAUGGGCGCAAGCCUGAUGCAGCGACGCCGCGUGGGGGAUGACGGCCUUCGGGUUGUAAACCUCUUUCACCAUCGACGAAGGUCCGGGUUCUCUCGGAUUGACGGUAGGUGGAGAAGAAGCACCGGCCAACUACGUGCCAGCAGCCGCGGUAAUACGUAGGGUGCGAGCGUUGUCCGGAAUUACUGGGCGUAAAGAGCUCGUAGGUGGUUUGUCGCGUUGUUCGUGAAAUCUCACGGCUUAACUGUGAGCGUGCGGGCGAUACGGGCAGACUAGAGUACUGCAGGGGAGACUGGAAUUCCUGGUGUAGCGGUGGAAUGCGCAGAUAUCAGGAGGAACACCGGUGGCGAAGGCGGGUCUCUGGGCAGUAACUGACGCUGAGGAGCGAAAGCGUGGGGAGCGAACAGGAUUAGAUACCCUGGUAGUCCACGCCGUAAACGGUGGGUACUAGGUGUGGGUUUCCUUCCUUGGGAUCCGUGCCGUAGCUAACGCAUUAAGUACCCCGCCUGGGGAGUACGGCCGCAAGGCUAAAACUCAAAGGAAUUGACGGGGGCCCGCACAAGCGGCGGAGCAUGUGGAUUAAUUCGAUGCAACGCGAAGAACCUUACCUGGGUUUGACAUGCACAGGACGCGUCUAGAGAUAGGCGUUCCCUUGUGGCCUGUGUGCAGGUGGUGCAUGGCUGUCGUCAGCUCGUGUCGUGAGAUGUUGGGUUAAGUCCCGCAACGAGCGCAACCCUUGUCUCAUGUUGCCAGCGGGUAAUGCCGGGGACUCGUGAGAGACUGCCGGGGUCAACUCGGAGGAAGGUGGGGAUGACGUCAAGUCAUCAUGCCCCUUAUGUCCAGGGCUUCACACAUGCUACAAUGGCCGGUACAAAGGGCUGCGAUGCCGCGAGGUUAAGCGAAUCCUUUUAAAGCCGGUCUCAGUUCGGAUCGGGGUCUGCAACUCGACCCCGUGAAGUCGGAGUCGCUAGUAAUCGCAGAUCAGCAACGCUGCGGUGAAUACGUUCCCGGGCCUUGUACACACCGCCCGUCACGUCAUGAAAGUCGGUAACACCCGAAGCCAGUGGCCUAACCCUCGGGAGGGAGCUGUCGAAGGUGGGAUCGGCGAUUGGGACGAAGUCGUAACAAGGUAGCCGUACCGGAAGGUGCGGCUGGAUCACCUCCUUUCUA
rnacentral:rRNA from 2 species